UGGGGAAUAUUGCACAAUGGGGGAAACCCUGAUGCAGCAACGCCGCGUGAUUGAAGAAGUAUUUCGGUAUGUAAAGAUCUAUCAGCAAGGAAGAAAAUGACGGUACUUGACUAAGAAGCCCCGGCUAACUACGUGCCAGCAGCCGCGGUAAUACGUAGGGGGCAAGCGUUAUCCGGAUUUACUGGGUGUAAAGGGAGCGUAGGCGGUCUGGCAAGCCAGAAGUGAAAGCCCGGGGCUUAACCCCGGGACUGCUUUUGGAACUGUUAGACUAGAGUGUCGGAGAGGUAAGUGGAAUUCCUAGUGUAGCGGUGAAAUGCGUAGAUAUUAGGAGGAACACCAGUGGCGAAGGCGGCUUACUGGACGAUAACUGACGCUGAGGCUCGAAAGCGUGGGGAGCAAACAGGAUUAGAUACCCUGGUAGU
rnacentral:rRNA from 1 species